rnacentral:rRNA from 1 species
UACGUAGGGUGCGAGCGUUAAUCGGAAUUACUGGGCGUAAAGCGUGCGCAGGCGGGCUUUUAAGCCAGACGUGAAAUCCCCGGGCUUAACCUGGGAAUGGCGUUUGGGACUGGGAGUCUGGAGUACGGCAGAGGAGACUGGAAUUCCUGGUGUAGCAGUGAAAUGCGUAGAUAUCUGGAGGAACACCGGUGGCGAAGGCGGCAUCCUGGACCGGUAUUGACGCUGAGGCGCGAAAGCCAGGGGAGCAAACGGG